GAAGGCAGUCCAGCCCUUGGCCCCUUUUUCUCCACCUUCUCUUCAAACAAAUCACGGGGAUCUGGGCCUGUUCCUGGGAAAGCAGUAUGUCAUUCACGUCGAGAUUGUCGGAUUCGUAAAAAAAAAAAUAAAGGAUUCUGCCAGUACGUGGUGAGUAAUUGCAGUUCUGAUGCCCAGAAGUUAUUUUUGGUCAUAAGAGAUGGUAGCGGCAACAUUAUGUACAAAAGAAGUAAAAUAAUAAGUUCCAAACAACUCAAACGAACAAAAAAACCAAUUGGUUGGGAAUAUGUCAAUUAACUCAAAUAUUCUCUACACACAACAGAAUGUCUUUGAACAUGUACAUUUUUCUAAACCAACUAAAUCAAAUCAAAUCAAAUCAAAUUUAUUUAUAUAGCCCUUCGUACAUCAGCUGAUAUCUCAAAGUGCUGUACAGAAACCCAGCCUAAAACCCCAAACAGCAAGCAAUGCAGGUGUAGAAGCACGGUGGCUAGGAAAAACUCCCUAGAAAGGCCAAAACCUAGGAAGAAACCUAGAGAGGAACCAGGCUAUGUGGGGUGGCCAGUCCUCUACUGUUGCUGAAAUCAUUCACUAACUGCAUAUUAUGAGAAUUCUGACCUUCAAUUGAUCUAUUCAUUGGAGGGAUAACCUGUUAUCCUACAGCUAAAAGUGUUUGUUAUACACAAAUGAAUUAAGUAAAAAAAAACAGCAUUUGAAUAGUUCCUAUGACUUCAAAUUCUGGCAUUUUACUAUGUUGAACUUUUUGUCUUUGUUUCCAAGGUAAAUUAUAGAUAUAUUCUCCACACUUCAUUAAAAGGAACCUGCUCCUAUGUCCCAGCAACAAAAGGAACGGGCUCGCAUGCCUCUUCAGCAGAAGCAACCGUCCACAAUGCCUCAGCAGAAGCAACCAGCCACAAUGCCUCAGCAAGUGUGACGACUGGCGCAAAUACCUUAGCUCUCUCUCUCGUUUUCUCUCCCUCUCUCUCUCACACUCUCACACAGACAGACAGCAGUGGGUCUGUACCAGUCAUAGGUGAAGGGGUGACAUCCUGCUCUUCAUCAACAGGGGGAGUGGUGACUAUGAAGUGCUCAAGGACUGGCUAGGUCAGGAGCUUUGGCCCCAGAAUUCGUUGAAAAGGUGAGAUCAGGCAAGCAGCUACUGGACCUGAAAAGAGCGACUCACCAAAACCUCUAUUAUAUUGGCUAUUUGAUUCAGAUCUUAAGAUAAUGUCCCUAAUCCACUAUUUGGAACAAGUUAUUUUGAAUCAACUCUUUAAUUGCAGCUUGAAUUUAAUUUGUAAAUUGAUUCAUUGGAGUCAGAUGUGUUGCACUGCUUUGUGAUCUGAGAAAACCCUUACCAAAUGCGGGAGAAAAGGAAAUGCCCAUCAACAAAAUUCAUAUAUGUGUAUUGAACUACUUUUGACAUUGGUCUCGUCCAAAAAAAAACUGAUUUUAGUUUUAGUUUCGGUUGCAGAACGUUUUGCUACGCUGUGCCCUACUGAACAUAACUAUGAUUUAUUUGUCUCAGUUCCUGUUUGUGCUGGUGAACAGGCUGAAGUCCAAUGAAAAAUGUCUGGGCAUUUACGACAGCGAGUCAGCCAUGAAAUGGCUCAUGCCCGAGGGAGAGAUCUCCACUCACUCAUAAGAGGCGAUCUCAAGGUGAAGCAGGCACUAGUACCCGAUCCUAAAACUGAGUUGUAAAACAAACAAAUAAAUGAAUGUAAAUAAUAAUUGUCUGUUUUAGAGUCUGUAUUGAUUUCUGCCUGAAUCUGAUGUAGGCUAUGUGUGUGCUCUGGUGGGCAUGGUGUGUCUUUAUGUGAGGACUGCCAUCUGCGAGUUGACAACAGCUCAGUGGCUACUCACCACUGAGAUUUUGGAUCUGAUGGUUACAAUCGCAACUGACUGACCUCAGUAGACUAAUAGGGCCUGGAGGGUCUAACAGAGAAAAAAGAAUUGGAAUCUGUCUUCAGAAAAAACAACAGUUGAGGAUUCCAAAUGCAAUCGCAAAGAAACAAGAAAUACAAUAGAAUGUGAUGCAGUAUAAUACAAUAUAUAUCUGUGUAUUUUCAUGCAAAUGCUACAUUUAAGUGCAGACCUGUAUUCAAAAACAUGUGUAUUUCAGUAUCUGAGUUAUAAUAUCUGGG
rnacentral:lncRNA from 13 species